GCGCUUGUAGCUCAGUUGGAUUAGAGCGCGUCCCUCCUAAGGACGAAGUCGUAGGUUCAAGUCCUACCAAGCGCG
rnacentral:tRNA from 1 species